rnacentral:rRNA from 1 species
UCCUACGGGAGAAAGCAGGGGACCUUCGGGCCUUGCGCUAAUAGAUGAGCCUAAGUCGGAUUAGCUAGUUGGUGGGGUAAAGGCCUACCAAGGCGACGAUCUGUAGCGGGUCUGAGAGGAUGAUCCGCCACACUGGGACUGAGACACGGCCCAGACUCCUACGGGAGGCAGCAGUGGGGAAUAUUGGACAAUGGGGGGAACCCUGAUCCAGCCAUGCCGCGUGUGUGAAGAAGGCCUUUUGGUUGUAAAGCACUUUAAGCGAGGAGGAGGCUACCGAGAUUAAUACUCUUGGAUAGUGGACGUUACUCGCAGAAUAAGCACCGGCUAACUCUGUGCCAGCAGCCGCGGUAAUACAGAGGGUGCAAGCGUUAAUCGGAUUUACUGGGCGUAAAGCGCGCGU